CAGAACGAACGCUGGCGGCAUGCCUAACACAUGCAAGUCGAACGAGACCUUCGGGUCUAGUGGCGCACGGGUGCGUAACGCGUGGGAAUCUGCCCUUGGGUUCGGGAUAACAGUUGGAAACGACUGCUAAUACCGGAUGAUGACCUUCGGUCCAAAGAUUUAUCGCCCAGGGAUGAGCCGCGUAGGAUUAGCUAGUUGGUGAGGUAAAGGCUCACCAAGGCGACGAUCCUUAGCUGGUCUGAGAGGAUGAUCAGCCACACUGGGACUGAGACACGGCCAGACU
rnacentral:rRNA from 1 species